rnacentral:tRNA from 1 species
GGAAGUAUGGCAGAAGUAGCACCUCCUAACAAGCAGGAGAUCCUGAGUUCAAACCCCAGUAGUUCCA